rnacentral:rRNA from 1 species
UACGUAGGGUGCGAGCGUUGUCCGGCAUUAUUGGGCGUAAAGGGCUCGUAGGCGGUUUGUCGCGUCGGGAGUGAAAACCAGGUGCUUAACACCUGGCUUGCUUUCGAUACGGGCAGACUAGAGGUAUUCAGGGGAGAACGGAAUUCCUGGUGUAGCGGUGAAAUGCGCAGAUAUCAGGAGGAACACCGGUGGCGAAGGCGGUUCUCUGGGAAUGACCUGACGCUGAGGAGCGAAAGUGUGGGGAGCGAACAGG